rnacentral:rRNA from 1 species
GGGAGCGGCAGACGGGUGAGUAACGCGUGGGAAUCUACCUAUCUCUAGGGAAUAACUCAGGGAAACUUGUGCUAAUACCCUAUACGUCCGUAAGGAGAAAGAUUUAUCGGAGAUAGAUGAGCCCGCGUUGGAUUAGCUAGUUGGUGGGGUAAAGGCCUACCAAGGCGACGAUCCAUAGCUGGUCUGAGAGGAUGAUCAGCCACACUGGGACUGAGACACGGCCCAGACUCCUACGGGAGGCAGCAGUGGGGAAUAUUGGACAAUGGGCGCAAGCCUGAUCCAGCCAUGCCGCGUGAGUGAUGAAGGCCCUAGGGUUGUAAAGCUCUUUCACCGGUGAAGAUAAUGACGGUAACCGGAGAAGAAGCCCCGGCUAACUUCGUGCCAGCAGCCGCGGUAAUACGAAGGGGGCUAGCGUUGUUCGGAUUUACUGGGCGUAAAGCGCACGUAGGCGGAUUGGUCAGUUAGGGGUGAAAUCCCAGGGCUUAACCCUGGAACUGCCUUUAAUACUGCCAGUCUUGAGUAUGGAAGAGGUGAGUGGAAUUGCGAGUGUAGAGGUGAAAUUCGUAGAUAUUCGCAGGAACACCAGUGGCGAAGGCGGCUCACUGGUCCAUUACUGACGC